rnacentral:misc_RNA from 1 species
UCCGUUUUGUCAACGGCAGUCUCUCUAGAGUGCCCAACUUAAUGCUGGCAACUAAAGAUAAGGGUUGCGCUCGUUGCGGGACUUAACCCAACAUCUCACGACACGAGCUGACGACAGCCAUGCAGCACCUGUCACUCAUCCAGCCGAACUGAAGGAAACCAUCUCUGGAAUCCGCGAUGAGGAUGUCAAACGCUGGUAAGGUUCUGCGCGUUGCUUCGAAUUGAACCACAUGCUCCACCGCUUGUGUGAGCCCCCGUCAAUUCCUUUGAGUUUCAGCCUUGCGGCCGUACUCCCCAGGCGGAGUACUUAGCACAUUCGCUUCGACAGCGAGAGCAUCGGGCCCCCGCUGCCUAGUACUCAUCGUUUACAGCUAGGACUAC